UAGUAACAACUGGUCAUACAAAAAUCCAUGGCUUCUCAGGCAAGCUUAGUUGUUGUUCAACCAUCUACUAUCAAUGGCCUUGCUAGAUCUUCCUUUAUUGGAACUAAGCUCUCUUUCAAGCCCUCUCGCUAGAGUUUUAGACCCAAGAAUUUCAGAUUCUUGCUGAUCUCGGCAUUCUACUUCACAACAAAAUAUGGUGACCAGGGAUGGAUGAUCCUGCUAACCUCCUUCUUGGGACUCACCAAUGGCUAUCUCACUAUUUUUGUUCUCACUGUGGUACCAAGAGGUUACAAGGCAAGUUCACCCAACCCAUAAUUCACAAAUGAAAAACUAAUGCAAAUACAUUUUAUGGAUUUAAUUUCUAUUUAAAAA